AGUGAACAAAUGCGCACAAAUAUCAACUAUAUUCGAUCUCUUAAACCAAUAAACACGGCAUCACCGAAACGACGGAUUGUAGGAUAUAAAAGUCAGUUUUUUUAACAUUAUCAAAAAUUCUAAGAAAAAAUUUAUUUUAUGAUUUUGAAGACCCCACAGAUCCUUAAUUAAUGAUUUUAUUUCCAAAAAGAAUGUGUCUUCGGCAAAGAAAAUGUCUAAAAUAUUAUUAGUAGGUUAAAAAAGGGUGAUGGAUGGCGUGAAUCACUAUUUACUAGAAAUAUUCCGUCAAAUUAAAAAUUCUAAUCAUAUAUCGUUUAGUACAUAUGUCUCUUGUAUGACAACAUUUGAUAAGUGUCAAAGUAAAAUGAUUCAAAAAAUACAAAACCUUUGCGAAGCCGGAUUGUUUUAUAAAGCAAUGUUCGAAAUUAUCGAAUGUUGUUUUGCUGUAGUUAAGUACUAAACAUUGGGAUGACGAUGACGAGUCAUGAACAGAAUAUGCACAAUGGUCUCCCAAAUGCACUUGGGUUUUAUUCAAUAAAGGUAAAAUAUUUAUAGACAAACUGUGUGGAAAAUAGGAUGUAAAUAAUUAAUCUUAAAAAAAAAAUCUUAUUUAUAUGUCUUAAUAAUUAAUUAUUUUGUGAUGUACAAUAAAUGUAUUAGUUUUACAAAAAAUGUUUUUUUAUAUUUAAUGUUAAGAGUAAUUAAACAUAAUGCUUUAUACAAGCUACACAUUUUGUAGUUGUUUACGUGUCGGACAAAUAAUGGUUUUGUAGAGCAAAAUAGAUUAUAUAACGUUGGACAAUCCAAAUCUUCCACGACGAUUACAUUUUGAUUAGGUAAAUACUUUUCCAAAACACUUUUUUUCAUAGUAC